UGCAUGGAUAUCCCCUGCUAGUUCCAAGGCUUGGAAACAACCCGGGCAGUAAUCUGGACCAAUGAUAAGAUUCACCUCAUUUGUUUCCCUUUCCUCAAGGAUCAUGAUCUUGUUCUGCCUGAUGUCCAGUGUUAGAAAACUGUCUUACAUGUUUUCUUCCAUUUCUUAGGUGUUUCAAGCAGAAAGGAUCAUUGUCUCUGAAUUCUAUCCAGAUUUUUCUUGUGGAUCAUGGACUACUGGUUAAAAACCCCUGGUGACUUUUUGUUAGAGUCAGAGACAAGUUCUUUUCCUGAGAAGGCUGCUAAACAAAAUAAUGAUCACAGGAAGUUUUGGUAUG